GAUGAACGCUGGCGGCGUGCCUAAUACAUGCAAGUCGAGCGAACGGACGAGAAGCUUGCUUUUCUGAUGUUAGCGGCGGACGGGUGAGUAACACGUGGAUAACCUACCUAUAAGACUGGGAUAACUUCGGGAAACCGGAGCUAAUACCGGAUAAUAUUUUGAACCGCAUGGUUCAAAAGUGAAAGACGGUCUUGCUGUCACUUAUAGAUGGAUCCGCGCUGCAUUAGCUAGUUGGUAAGGUAAUGGCUUACCAAGGCAACGAUGCAUAGCCGACCUGAGAGGGUGAUCGGCCACACUGGAACUGAGACACGGUCCAGACUCCUACGGGAGGCAGCAGUAGGGAAUCUUCCGCAAUGGGCGAAAGCCUGACGGAGCAACGCCGCGUGAGUGAUGAAGGUCUUCGGAUCGUAAAACUCUGUUAUUAGGGAAGAACAUAUGUGUAAGUAACUGUGCACAUCUUGACGGUACCUAAUCAGAAAGCCACGGCUAACUACGUG
rnacentral:rRNA from 1 species